rnacentral:lncRNA from 1 species
GUUGGAUAGGCCGAUCCUGAUCCUGAAAAGGAUAGCAAACUGAGUAGACGUUGAAAAAGGAUUCCUUCUCACGAGUUGGACUCGAACCAAGACCUCUUGCAUUCAGCGAACUACCUUUUUUCGAUCGUGACUUUGUUCCCCCGGUUCAUCGCGCGACAAAAGACUUGGCGAUUACAUCUGGGGUCGGCUUUCCCAACGCGUCAACCACACGCCCUAGCUAAUAUUUUCGUAGGUAAUAAUAUGGGGUCGACUUUCCCAAAGCGUCAACUAUACGCCCUAGCUAAUAUUUUCGUAGGUAAUAAUUAUAUUAUUACAGAUGGCGCUUCACAUUGCUGGCGAAUGCUCCUAUGCUUGCGCCAUAUGUACUGAGAGGCAGUAGGUAGAGUAAGAAUAGGCAUAGAGCGCAUAAUCUUAGUGAUU